UGAAACUUAGCAGAUUCAUUAGGUUCCUCCUU
rnacentral:piRNA from 1 species